GUGUAAUAGUUCUCAGUCAAUGACCUCUGUGUGCUCAGAAUCACCUGGGACAAGGCCCUCAAAUGGCAGAACCCACCUCAAAAGUUCUCUGGAGUACCUGCUGUGUUGAGCUGCAUGUUCCAGAAUGCAGAAUUCCCUCCAUUGUUUGGUUUCAGCAGGCUGGUUCUCUGCUGGAAAUCAAUGGGUGACUCAAAGCCAAGACAAAAAGCAGCCUUGUGUGAAGGUCUGGAGAAUGCUGUGUGAUACCCUGCUGCCCAAGGCACUCACACAAUCUACAGCAUCAAUUUAAGUUAACUUGAAAGAGUGCAAAGGAUAUUUUCCUCUUUAUUUUGCUCUAUGGGAGCGACUGUGUAUGUUUAAAUAACGCAUUUACUCUUUCAAAAAGAAGCUGGGCGUCCUCCAAACACAUUAAAGUGACUUUAACUGAGCA